AUUGAACGCUGGCGGCAUGCCUUACACAUGCAAGUCGAACGGCAGCGCGGGGCAACCUGGCGGCGAGUGGCGAACGGGUGAGUAAUAUAUCGGAACAUACCCUAGAGUGGGGGAUAACGUAGCGAAAGUUACGCUAAUACCGCAUACGCACUAAGGUGGAAAGUGGGGGAUUCGCAAGAACCUCAUGCUCAUGGAGUGGCCGAUAUCUGAUUAGCUAGUUGGUGAGGUAAAGGCUCACCAAGGCAACGAUCAGUAGCUGGUUUGAGAGAACGACCAGCCACACUGGAACUGAGACACGGUCCAGACUCCUACGGGAGGCAGCAGUGGGGAAUUUUGGACAAUGGGGGCAACCCUGAUCCAGCAAUGCCGCGUGAGUGAAGAAGGCCUCGGUUGGUUAAAGUACGUCUUUUGUUCUAGGGAAGGAAACGGUAGAGGAGCGUAAUAUACUCUUGUCUAAU
rnacentral:rRNA from 1 species